CCAAAUUUGGUGUUGAUCUGAAUAAAUCUCUAGGAGGAGUUCGUUAAAAUACAAGGCAUGCAAAUGACAAAAAUGAUGCAAAAUUUGCUCAUAAAAUUAAAAAUAACCGACUUCCUGUUGGGUUUCGGAUAUUGCUCCAAGAGUCUUUUUUGUAGGUACUGAUGCUUUACAUAUGUGUGCCAAUUUUCGUGCAUGUACGUGAAACACAGCUCGAGGGCUGUUGAUUUUUUUACGGUAGGUGGCGCUGUCGAGCCAUUUUGCCACACCCUCUUCUGAAACCUAUAUCAGACGUAAAUUUUCACCAGGUCUGACGCGUGUGCAAAGUUUCAGGACUUUUCGAGCAUGUUUAGGCCCUCAAAAAUGCGAUUCAUUUUGGAGAAGAAGAAGAAGAAGAAGAAGAAGAAGAAGAAGAAUUAAAGCUGCAAGCAGCGAUGAACGGGCCCUCGCACCCGGGCUCACCGCCAUCGUGUGGCUUUAGUAAAAAGGUGAACGGUGAGAAAUAUGCAUUUAAAGUCGUAAAUAUAAGUGGAAUAUGUCAAAGUCAUUUAUAUGUGACAAUUUUCCUGUUGCCAGCAGGUGGCGCUAUCAUUAUAAUGGAAUAUUGGCCUUCAGAUUUGUUCAGGCCAGGACUCUUAUCGAGCAUGUGAAGUUUGGGGAAGAUCAAACAUUUUAUGCCUGAG
ensembl:lncRNA